rnacentral:rRNA from 1 species
UACGGAGGAUCCAAGCGUUAUCCGGAAUCAUUGGGUUUAAAGGGUCCGUAGGCGGUUUAGUAAGCCAGUGGUGAAAGCCCAUCGCUCAACGGUGGAACGGCCAUUGAUACUGCUAGACUUGAAUUAUUAGGAAGUAACUAGAAUAUGUAGUGUAGCGGUGAAAUGCUUAGAGAUUACAUGGAAUACCAAUUGCGAAGGCAGGUUACUACUAAUGGAUUGACGCUGAUGGACGAAAGCGUGGGUAGCGAACAGG